CAGGCCUAACACAUGCAAGUCGGACGGGAUUGAGGAGCUUGCUCUUCAUGAGAGUGGCGCACGGGUGCGUAACACGUAUGUAACCUACCUUAAUCUGGGGGAUAGCCUCUCGAAAGAGAGAUUAACACCGCAUAACAUCACGUUACGGCAUUGUAGUGUGAUCAAAUAUUUAUAGGAUUAAGAUGGGCAUGCGGAACAUUAGCUAGUUGGUAAGGUAAUGGCUUACCAAGGCAACGAUGUUUAGGGGAUCUGAGAGGAUGACCCCCCACACUGGUACUGAGACACGGACCAGACUCCUACGGGAGGCAGCAGUAAGGAAUAUUGGUCAAUGGGCGGAAGCCUGAACCAGCCAUGCCGCGUGCAGGAAGACGGCCCUACGGGUUGUAAACUGCUUUUGUACCGGAAUAAACCUUUCUUCGUGAAGAGAGCUGAAUGUACGGUAAGAAUAAGGAUCGGCUAACUCCGUGCCAGCAGCCGCGGUAAUACGGAGGAUCCGAGCGUUAUCCGGAUUUAUUGGGUUUAAAGGGUGCGUAGGCGGCUUUUUAAGUCAGGGGUGAAAGACGGUAGCUCAACUAUCGCAGUGCCUUUGAUACUGAAGAGCUUGAAUACACUUGAGGUAGGCGGAAUGUGACAAGUAGCGGUGAAAUGCAUAGAUAUGUCACAGAACACCAAUUGCGAAGGCAGCUUACUAAAGUGAGAUUGACGCUGAGGCACGAAAGCGUGGGGAUCAAACAGGAUUAGAUACCCUGGUAGUCCACGCCCUAAACGAUGAAUACUCGAUGUUGGCGAUAUACGGUCAGCGUCUAAGCGAAAGCGUUAAGUAUUCCACCUGGGGAGUACGCCCGCAAGGGUGAAACUCAAAGGAAUUGACGGGGGCCCGCACAAGCGGAGGAGCAUGUGGUUUAAUUCGAUGAUACGCGAGGAACCUUACCCGGGCUUGAAAGUUAGUGAAUGAUCCAGAGACGGAUCAGCUCUUCGGAGCAUGAAACUAGGUGCUGCAUGGCUGUCGUCAGCUCGUGCCGUGAGGUGUUGGGUUAAGUCCCGCAACGAGCGCAACCCCUAUGUUUAGUUGCCAGC
rnacentral:rRNA from 1 species